rnacentral:rRNA from 1 species
UACAGGGGGGGCAAGCGUUGUUCGGAAUUACUGGGCGUAAAGGGCUCGUAGGCGGCCAACUAAGUCACACGUGAAAUCCCCAGGCUUAACCUGGGAACUGCGUGUGAUACUGGAUGGCUUGAAUUCGGGAGAGGGAUGCAGAAUUCCAGGUGUAGCGGUGAAAUGCGUAGAUAUCUGGAGGAAUACCGGUGGCGAAGGCGGCAUCCUGGACCGAGAUUGACGCUGAGGAGCGAAAGCCAGGGGAGCAAACGGG